ensembl:lncRNA
GCAAAAGCGGCCACUAACAAGCACCACAGUCUAAAAUACGGUAAGGCAAGCAAGCCUUGUCACAAACACAGGAACCUGUCAAGUAGCAGCUAAACAGCUAUAACAUCUAUGAAUUUGGUCUAAUACCCCACACAUCCCAGUCAAAUCUCUCAUCUUGAACCCUUCAUGCCCCAUGUUGGAUGCCAAAAGACAGCAGGACUGUCAUAGCCAUACAGGAACAAGUAACUCAGCUGUUUCUCAAUUGUGUCUAUUCUAAAGCUUGGACUACUUUCAUCCUCCUAUGUGAGACUUUCUCCCAUUUUACUACAUUUCUGUGGAAGGGUGGAUCAGAAUUUUACACUGCAGUAAAACCUAACGGCGCCAUCAAUUUACACAGUGUAGAACUCUCCUCUGUUUCAAUCUUUAUUUCCUACUAAGUCAUCCUUAGCACCUGUCUGACCUGCUGCUGAGCAGAGAAACAAUGUUCCUCUGGCGAUUCCAAAAUCAGUUAUUUCCUACUCAGCAAUAGCUAAUUCAGAGGACGCAGAUGUAGGCAAACUGAGAAUUAAGUGUUAUUUUAAUCUUAUUUUACAUUAAAUUAACAAUCACUGAAUUGCGUUUCCCGUUUGAAGAGAUACAGUACCACGAGAUUGUUUUGCUACUUUAAUUCUGAGAACUCAACACAAGUGCAAACAUUUUGUCACUAUUUACCCUUCUUUAAUAACCAUAACCACUGAGUAGCAGAGACCCACAGGACUCCCUUAGCAGCCUCCCCUUAUUGGUAACUUACUGCUUUAUUAUUCUAUUUCACACAUUUUGUAAUGCUAAGAGACUUCCUGUCCUCACCUACUACAUUACUGCUUUUUAAAGAAACCUUAAUGAAACACCCUAACAGCCUUUAUGGAAACUGCAUCAAGUUGGCCUUUCUUUUUACUGAGAGAAGCUUUCCUACAACUCAUGAACACGAGGCUACAACUCUACCAAUACGCAUUUACUCACUCAUGCACUAAUUCUAACCUUUACCAACGCACAAGAAACAGAACUAAGUUUGUAAAUACAACCAGAAAAUUUUGAAAAAUUGGCAUAAUCUUUAUUGCUUUUCAGCCCUUUCGGUAUUUUUCAAGUGCAGUCACAGCAGCUCAAACGUUCCCAACACGAAUCUUCCCAGGACUCCCAUGAACAUUUGCAGUAUGUUGUAGACUCACUUCUAUAGGUACCUUAUUUUGAGAGCAACCUUCAAGCAUGCUGCAGCAAGGGCCCCAGCGUUCGUAUCCGUCUAACCUCCCACAUGGUGAAGAAAUAAUUUAGCUUGUCUAUCACAACCUUGUAAAAAUUCAGUUCUUUCUGUACUUUAACCACCCGCUGAUCCAUUAGCUUCUGACAGGCUUCCUGCAUAGGAGAAAACAAAAAGCAUCUGUACAGGUGUAUGGGAACUGUUGAGUCACAGCCUGAACCACUGAUUGAGCACCUGGGGAAAGGACUGGGUCAGCCUGGGGAGUGCAGGUGAAAGCAAUUCAGCUGUGCGACCAAAAGGGGUGGAGCCUGAAUCCUCCUAGACCUCAUUUAAGGGCUGAUGGCCACAACAGAUGGAUGUUUUUUCUGGAGAUUUCUCUUUGGUGAAGCUUUGUCCUGCAAACCUGAUAUCUUCUGGUACAGUGUUUCAGUGCAAGACUGCAUUUGGAAGCAUUUCAAGGAAAGCUACUGUGAAGGUCCAUGGAAAGUACACAGACAGCCCAAAGAGAAUUCCAAUGCUACAAUAAAAUCUUUACUCCAAAUGGAAAGUGUAUUUUUUUUUUUUUAGUGGUGGAAGGAAGAAGGAGGCAGGGAAAAAAAGGGAGUAAUAUUCUUGUUUCUGUUCAGUGCUGCUGCCAUACCAGAAAGCCAAACAAAAACAACAGAAGGAAACUUUCUGUGAAAGGAAAUCUACAAACUACAUCCAAAAUAAACAAGCUGAAAGAGGAAAAAAAAAAAGAAAUUUUCCAUUAUGUUCAUGGCCAAGAGAAGUACCUUUUAAGGGGCUCCUGAUCCUGUGCUACAGCAUGUGCAGCUCUUGAUUUACCAGGCCUUAAAGGAUCUGCACAUGUAUUGGCCUCCCUUUAAGCUCCCCAAUAUGACCAUCCCUGUUAGGUACCCCCAGGGACUCCACAGCUGGAAAACUAUUCAUCCUUUUACAUCUUUCCCGAUCCAUGUGUUGACUUUUACAUGAAAGCUACUGUUCAAGAAGGAAUAUGGCAGGAAUUUCUCAUAGAAACUCAGCUAUGUUCUUCAGAAACCAUGAGAGGAA